CAAGUCGAGCGAACUUGCGGGAGCUUGCUCUCAAAAGUUAGCGGCGGACGGGUGAGUAACACGUGGGCAACCUGCCUAUAAGACUGGGAUAACUUCGGGAAACCGGAGCUAAUACCGGAUAAUUCUUUUCUACUCAUGUAGAAAAGCUGAAAGACGGUUUACGCUGUCACUUAAAGAUGGGCCCGCGGCGCAUUAGCUAGUUGGUGAGGUAACGGCUCACCAAGGCAACGAUGCGUAGCCGACCUGAGAGGGUGAUCGGCCACACUGGGACUGAGACACGGCCCAGACUCCUACGGGAGGCAGCAGUAGGGAAUCUUCCGCAAUGGACGAAAGUCUGACGGAGCAACGCCGCGUGAGUGAUGAAGGUUUUCGGAUUGUAAAACUCUGUUGUUAGGGAAGAACAAGUACGAGAGUAACUGCUCGUACNUUGACGGUACCUAACCAGAAAGCCACGGCUAACUACGUGCCAGCAGCCGCGGUAAUACGUAGGUGGCAAGCGUUGUCCGGAAUUAUUGGGCGUAAAGCGCGCGCAGGCGGUCCUUUAAGUCUGAUGUGAAAGCCCACGGCUCAACCGUGGAGGGUCAUUGGAAACUGGGGGACUUGAGUGCAGGAGAGAAGAGUGGAAUUCCACGUGUAGCGGUGAAAUGCGUAGAGAUGUGGAGGAACACCAGUGGCGAAGGCGACUCUUUGGCCUGUAACUGACCCUGAGGCGCGAAGCGUGGGGAGCAACAGGAUUAGAUACCCUGGUAUCCACGCCGUAACGAUGAGUGCUAAGUGUUAGAGGGUU
rnacentral:rRNA from 1 species